rnacentral:rRNA from 1 species
AAUGAACGCUGGCGGCAGGCCUAACACAUGCAAGUCGAACGGGUCCUUCGGGACUAGUGGCGGACGGGUGAGUAACGCGUGGGAACGUGCCCCUUGGUACGGAAUAGCCCCGGGAAACUGGGAGUAAUACCGUAUGUGGUCGAGAGACGAAAGAUUUAUCGCCAAGGGAUCGGCCCGCGUUGGAUUAGGUAGUUGGUGGGGUAAUGGCCUACCAAGCCGACGAUCCAUAGCUGGUUUGAAAGGAUGAUCAGCCACACUGGGACUGAGACACGGCCCAGACUCCUACGGGAGGCAGCAGUGGGGAAUCUUAGACAAUGGGGGAAACCCUGAUCUAGCCAUGCCGCGUGAUCGAUGAAGGCCUUAGGGUUGUAAAGAUCUUUCAGGUGGGAAGAUAAUGACUGUACCACCAGAAGAAGCCCCGGCUAACUCCGUG